UACGAAGGGGGCUAGCGUUGCUCGGAAUCACUGGGCGUAAAGCGCACGUAGGCGGACUCUUAAGUCGGUGGUGAAAUCCUGGAGCUCAACUCCAGAACUGCCUUCGAUACUGGGAGUCUCGAGUCCGGGAGAGGUGAGUGGAACUGCGAGUGUAGAGGUGAAAUUCGUAGAUAUUCGCAAGAACACCAGUGGCGAAGGCGGCUCACUGGGCCAAUAUUGACGCUGAGGUGCGAAAGCGUGGGGAGCAAACAGG
rnacentral:rRNA from 1 species